rnacentral:rRNA from 1 species
ACGGAGGUUGCAAGCGUUGUUCGGAAUUACUGGGCGUAAAGGGAGCGCAGGCGGCCAAGUCAGUCUGAAGUGAAAUCCCGGGGCUUAACCUCGGAAGUGCUUUGGAUACUACUUGGCUAGAGUACGUGAGAGGUGAGCGGAAUUCCAGGUGUAGCGGUGAAAUGCGUAGAUAUCUGGAGGAACACCCGUGGCGAAAGCGGCUCACUGGCGCGUAACUGACGCUGAGGCUCGAAAGCGUGGGGAGCAAACGG